GAUCAUUCAACCCUGACCUUUGGCCUCCUCUGCAUAUUCCCCAAACGAAGAAGUUCAAAAUUGCCUUCCUUUCAUCAGAUUCGAAUUCAUCAUUUCCUUAACUUCACCAGGUGGCUCAUGUGUCAGCCUUCUCUACUGGACUAUUUUAUAGAAGUGUCAAGCUCAAAUGCCUUAAGAUACUACAACCUUCCUUAUCAAUCAGUUUGAUGUUUCAAUAUUGUAAUUGAACAACUUGCAGAUUCCUGAGCUUUUGACAUUUUUAAUGGUUUAUCUUUGGUUCUUUGUUUCAUUUUGUUGGUUGCUAAUUAGAUUUGAAAUUGACAUUUUUUUUUCAUACCAAUCAAGUCAAGAUCUUACCACAAGAGGUUUCAAGUCAAAUUUUAGCGAAUGAGAGGUAUGAAUAUAUUUGUAAUCUGUCAUAUCUUUUAUUUCCUUAAGCUACCUUUUGUUGGCCUUUUACACCUUUUUUAGGAACCAAAUGUAAGACAUCCAUCGUUUUCCACUUGGAAGUAGGAUUUUUAUGUGUUUAGGUUUCCAAAUUUUACAAACCUCUAACAAUAUGAAUGGCACCGUUUACCUUCAAGAUCCUUUACAUUUAUGUAUUCUAAUUCUUAUCUUUUCUAGACUUCAAGAUCUUUUACAUUUAUGGUUAUGAUCUUUUACCGGCUCUCCUACAACUAACUUUGAAGAAUGGAAUCCCUUUUUUCAAACUUGUGGUGGAGAGCAGCAUCGACAUUCUAGCUGAUGUUGUCAAAAAGUUACCAUUUGGGAAGGAUGAUUCAAGCUUGAUUUAUGCAUUCUACUUUAUACACGAGAACAAGAAGAAGCAUGGAGGUUGGAUAACCAAGGCAGAUGAGAAAACACUUGAUUGCAUGCUAGAUGGGGAGGUAGCUGCUAUAAUUGUGAAGAUUCCAAGUGAUGAAAUCUGUGGAGAUAUAGGGAACUCGAAUAGCACGGUGGUUAUUCUCCCUGAUGGUGCUCAUAGUCUACCAAACGGUGGAUGACCUUCUUCAUUGAUAAACCGAUGGAGAUCUGGUGAAGUAUGUGAUUGUGGAGGCUGGAUAUCGGUUGCUAAUUUCAUGUUCUCAGUCAUCAAAAUGAAAUCCCAACUCCCUCAAAUCGUCUCGACCUUUGUCACGAGGGUUUCACUGUGCAAAAUUAGCCUGGUUUCACUUGAAGAUGGACUUUACUCGCUUGAAUAUGAUCCGUCAAUGUCUUUGCUUCAAGCAUUCUACAUAUGUGUAGCAGUUGUAAGUAGCCAGAAGUUGACUCGCUCGCAUCCUUUACAUUUAUGGUUAUGAACUCUAACCACAAAGCAUUUUGGUUGUUCAUGUUUUCUACUUCAAAUUGUUUCCCA